CCUACGGUAGGCAGCAGUCGAGAAUCAUUCACAAUGGGGGAAACCCUGAUGGUGCGACGCCGCGUGGGGGAAUGAAGGUCUUCGGAUUGUAAACCCCUGUCAUGUGGGAGCAAAUUAAAAAGAUAGUACCACAAGAGGAAGAGACGACUAACUCUGUGCCAGCAGCCGCGGUAAUACAGAGGUCUCAAGCGUUGUUCGGAAUCACUGGGCGUAAAGCGUGCGUAGGCUGUUUCGUAAGUCGUGUGUGAAAGGCGCGGGCUCAACCCGCGGACGGCACAUGAUACUGCGAGACUAGAGUAAUGGAGGGGGAACCGGAAUUCUCGGUGUAGCAGUGAAAUGCGUAGAUAUCGAGAGGAACACUCGUGGCGAAGGCGGGUUCCUGGACAUUAACUGACGCUGAGGCACGAAGGCCAGGGGAGCGAAAGGGAUUAGAUACCCCAGUAGUC
rnacentral:rRNA from 1 species